UACGUAGGGUGCAAGCGUUGUCCGGAAUUAUUGGGCGUAAAGAGCGUGUAGGCGGCCCGAUUAGUCCGCUGUGAAAGUCCAGGGCUCAACCCUGGAAUGCCGGUGGAUACUGUCGGGCUAGAGUCCGGAAGGGGCGAGUGGAAUUCCUGGUGUAGCGGUGAAAUACGCAGAUAUCAGGAGGAACACCAAUGGCGAAGGCAGCUCGCUGGGACGUGACUGACGCUGAGACGCGAAAGCGUGGGGAGCAAACAGG
rnacentral:rRNA from 1 species